CCUACGGGAGGCAGCAGUGGGGAAUAUUGCACAAUGGGGGAAACUCUGAUGCAGCGACGCCGCGUGAGUGAAGAAGUUUUUCGGUAUGUAAAGCUCUGUCAGCAGGGAAGAAAAUGACGGUAGCUGCUCAAGAAUCCCCGGCUCCCUACGUUCCAUCCGCCGCGGUAAUACGUCGGGGGCAAGCGUUAUCCGGAUUUACUGGGUGUAACUGGAGCGUAGACGGCAGGGCAAGUCAGGAGUGAAAGGCGGAGUCUCAACCCCCGAACUGCUCUGGAAACUGCCAGGCUGGAGUGCAGGAGAGGUAAGUGGAAUUCCUAGUGUAGCGGUGAAAUGCGUAGAUAUUAGGAGGAACACCAGUGGCGAAGGCGGCUUACUGGACUGUAACUGACGUUGAGGCACGAAAGCGUGGGGAGCAAACAGGAUUAGAUACCCCGGUAGUC
rnacentral:rRNA from 1 species